CAACAAAAACCGGUGCCAGCUCAUUUAAUUAGCACCGGUUCAAACCGGUGCCAACCUUAAAAAAACAAAAAAAAAACAAACAAAGAAAGCAAUAGAGUUGGUAAACCGGUGCCAACUAUAGUAAUUAGCACCGGUUUGAACCGGUGCCAUUAACAAAAAGUCCGGUUUAAGGCGCAUCUUUUUCUUCAUUUGCUUGCUCUUUCCUCUUCGUUCUCAUCUGAUCUGCCUCUCUCUCUCCUCCAUUGUAGCGUACUCGAAUUUCUCCAUUGAAGGGGCUCCUGAGCUUUCCUAACACUCCGUCUCUCUCCUUCGAUCUCCUUCUCCAUUAAAGGCCUCCAUUCCUAUUUCCUAAGUCUCUGAGUUAUUUCAUUGAAGCGCAUUCAAUGUUUCUAUUGAAGCGUUCUCCAUUGAAGCGUUCUCCGUUGAAUCUAAUUCUUGUAUCCCCCAUUUAAGCAGCUUCUAAGGAAUUUAACUCUGAUGCAGAUGCACAAGCAAAUUUUGCCGUUAGUCUUGCUGAUGGUCAAGUUCAGGAGGUGAAUAAGAAAUUGCACAUGCUUUUGGGCUGAACAUACUCAAGAAAAGUCAUCAACAUUGUGGCCCUGUGACAUUAAACUUGUAGUUUUACAUGUCUAGCAAGAAUUGACACCAUGAAAGCCACAAAAGUGAGAUACAGUAUGGAGAAACAGAGCCUGAUACUGAAAAGGUAUUUCAGGAACGUUCAAAUUGACACUUCAGUUUACUGAGGACUACCCAAAUAAGCCUCCUACAGUGCGCUUUGUCUCUCGGAUGUUUCAUCCAAAUAAAGGGGAAAGGGGGAAACAACAAAGAAGACCUAGAGGCGAAAACGGUCGCUGACCCCAGCAACUCUUCCCACCGACGCGGUGUUCUCCGGUCGGCGACGCUCCCUACCGGUAUGUCGUCUAAAUUGUUUUAUUUUAUGUAUGUAAUGACUUCAUUUGUUUUCUUUUUGGUACUAAGAUUCGAUGAUAACACCGUCGGCACUACCAUUACGAGCAUUUUCCAAGCACAUUGGCGCAAACCAUGGCUUAACUAUGAGGAGGUUGACGAGGGUACUAGGACCCAUUGGUGGAACCAGUUUACGAAACAUUUCCUUUGGAAUGCUGAUGUUGAUGCCCUUGUGAAGAAGGAGUAUGACAAGAAGGCACAUAAGAGGUUGAAAGAAAUAACAUACAAUGUCACUGUCAGAAACAAGUCAAUUCCUAAAUGGAUGGGAAAGUUAAUGUUUCAGCAAUUGAUGGUGAAAAGAAAGGCCGCAAAAUUUUUGGAGAGGUCGGAACGGGCUAAGAAGAAGAGGAGGGGCGGCUCCCUAUCUAAUUUAAUUGAGCCAUCACACUUCCAAGGUUCUAUCUCUGCAUCAAAGCAUGCAAAGAAAAUGGCUCAGAAAGCCGGUGGAGUGCUUCCUACUCCUCCUAGGUGUUCCUAAAAACUCAUUUCAAGAAUGUUCCUGGAAAAGGAAAAUUUGCGGCUAACAAGAGGGCACAACAAAUCUCGGAUGCUUACCAAAAGAAGCUUGACGAUUCGACCACUCGAGGGUCACAAUCGGACCCUAACUAGUUAUACUGGGAGGUAGUUGGUGGUAUAAAAAAGGGUGUGGUGAAGGGCCUAGGUGUGAGUGCUAGUUUGUAUUACACCUCUUCUGAGAAAGGCUCGCAAUCGUAUAAUCCGAUCCUUCCAUAGCUUCACAGUUGGAGGAACGUGUGCAAGCAGAGGUUACCGAGCGGGUAGAGGAGGCGAAAGAGCAGAUGCAUGUAGGCA